rnacentral:ncRNA from 14 species
GCUUUGUAUGAAAGGAGAGAAGGUGAGCAGUCCCCUUGGCAAGGAUGGAAGAGGCCACUGGGCCGGACAAUAUGCACACGGGCAAGGCAUUGCUGCGUGCCUGCUGGUGCCCGAGCACCAUGUUUGCUU